CGCGUGGAAAUUAGGCCCAGGGAAAGUAAUCGCUUCGUUUGGGAGCACUGUUGACAGGGAUAUAUGGCCCGAUCCCCUCGAUUUCCCCGGGGGAACCGCACCCCACCUGCCGAGGCCGGGCAACGCUCCCCGUCCGCCGUCCCCCGUCUCGCUCGCUCCGCUCGUCCGCCCCGCUCAGGGUCGCAUCUCCAUCUCGGACAUGGAUGGAUGUGCCUCCAGCCCCCGUCACCGCCUGGCGUCGUAGUGCAUCUGCCUCAGUCUCGCUCUCUUCUCGCCGGCGAAGUCACAAAGAUAUCUUGAUGCAGGAGGCUGAGAGUGCACGAUAGACGAAGAAACAAGCAAACCAAGAGAAGCCUUACUACACCGCGGCCCCUUUUGGCUCUGCUAUGGCAAGGAAUUUCAUGUUACUAUAUUUUCGCGGCCGGUCCUCCAGCUUCGCAUCCAGGUGCCGCCACCCCUCCAGCUCCGCAUCUAGGCACCGCUGCCCCUCCUCCUUCGCUGCUCCAUUCUUGUCGCUCGCUCCGCCUCCCUGUCGGCAGCACCGCCACCAUCCCUUCUGAGGUCUCGAUCUGCAGCUGCGCCUCCAACUCGGCCGUCUCUACGUCGGCACAUAUCUCGGCCUUCACUCCAUUUUCCAAGAACCACUCCUUGUUUCUGUUCCCCGGUUAUUCUUGGCCUAGAGUUUGCUGCAGAGAAGAACAUACACUUCAUUUCUGAUAUGGCGCUUACAAGCAGAAGCAGCAGCAAGAUGACUUACCAUGCUUUGACCGUAACCCCUGAAUUGCUGGUUGGCGGCACCAUGAGUGGUAACUACUACUGGUUGAUGGACAUCGCUUACCGGAUCUAUAUCAUUGACUGACGACAUGGUAUCUUGUAGUCCUGUAGAAGACAUCGCUUAUAGGAUCUAUAUCCUAGACUGACAUGGUAUCCAACUGUAAAUUUUUUAGGUUGUUAUUAAAUUUGUAAUGGUGUUUGACUUGGUGUUUAUAAGUUGGGAGUGAUGCAAUGUACAAUUCGGUUGGAUACAAGUGAAAACUUUUCAGGGUCAAUGUACAAUCGUCGGAAUGUAUAUAAUAAAUUUGCAUUUGUUGAUGGCAGUGUAUA